rnacentral:tRNA from 1 species
CGGAGUGUGGCGCAGAUGGUAGCGCGCUGUGUUCGGAACGCAGAGGUCGCAGGUUCGAGCCCUGUCACUCCGA